rnacentral:rRNA from 1 species
CAGCCGCCGCGGGAAUACAGAGGGUGCAAGCGUUAAUCGGAAUUACUGGGCGUAAAGUGCGCGUAGGUGGUUUGUUAAGUUGGAUGUGAAAUCCCCGGGCUCAACCUGGGAACUGCAUCCAAAACUGGCAAGCUAGAGUAUGGUAGAGGGUGGUGGAAUUUCCUGUGUAGCGGUGAAAUGCGUAGAUAUAGGAAGGAACACCAGUGGCGAAGGCGACCACCUGGACUGAUACUGACACUGAGGUGCGAAAGCGUGGGGAGCAAACAGGAUUAGAGACCCCCGUAGUCCCUGUCUCUUAUAC